AUGGAGCCGACCUUGAAAUACCACCCUUUAAUGUUUGAUGUUCUAACGUUGACCCGUAAUCCGGGUUGCGGACAGUGUCUGGUGGGUAGUUUGACUGGGGCGGUCUCCUCCUAAAGAGUAACGGAGGAGCACGAAGGUUGGCUAAUCCUGGUCGGACAUCAGGAGGUUAGUGCAAUGGCAUAAGCCAGCUUGACUGCGAGCGUGACGGCGCGAGCAGGUGCGAAAGCAGGUCAUAGUGAUCCGGUGGUUCUGAAUGGAAGGGCCAUCGCUCAACGGAUAAAAGGUACUCCGGGGAUAACAGGCUGAUACCGCCCAAGAGUUCAUAUCGACGGCGGUGUUUGGCACCUCGAUGUCGGCUCAUCACAUCCUGGGGCUGAAGUAGGUCCCAAGGGUAUGGCUGUUCGCCAUUUAAAGUGGUACGCGAGCUGGGUUUAGAACGUCGUGAGACAGUUCGGUCCCUAUCUGCCGUGGGCGCUGGAGAACUGAGGGGGGCUGCUCCUAGUACGAGAGGACCGGAGUGGACGCAUCACUGGUGUUCGGGUUGUCAUG
rnacentral:rRNA from 1 species